GCGGAAGUAGUUCAGUGGUAGAACACCACCUUGCCAAGGUAGGGGUCGCGAGUUAGAACCUCGUCUUCCGCUCCA
rnacentral:tRNA from 1 species